UGGGAUUACUGGUGUGAGCCACUGCACCUGGUCACGAAUACAUUUUUUAUUACUUUUAUUUUCUGAGUAACCUAUGACCCUUAAUAAGGAAAGAUACUUGUGUUAUCUAUGUAUGUAUAUAGUCACAUGGAACAUCUAUAUGAAUGUUUAUAUGCAUAUACAGACAGUAAGCAUAUGGUGCAGGUAUGUGAGUAGGGUAAAUAUUUUUGAUUGUAUUAUAUGAACAAGCAGUUAUGAUCUUGAAUCAUUUAUUGCAUAAAUCUUAGCAGUAUUAAAAGAGAAGCUUUCUGUGAGGAUGCAAAGAGAAAUGACAUCUACAUUAGUGAACUUUAAAAUCACAAGCUUGCAAGUAACUGUAAUCCUGGAAUAUUUUCCAAGCCUGUAAAUGAAAAAGCGACGUGUACAGUGGUGAAGAGAUUAAAAGCAACCUGUUAAAAUGGUAUUCUGGUAGCAAAGAGCACACCUGCCAUCCAGGUUUGGGAUCCUAAAUACCAUUGCUUACUAAAAGAGACUAGCACUCCUUGGAGUAGUGAUGGAUACCUGUAAAGUGAGGAAGUACUCAAAGGCAGAGGAGGUAAUGUCAGAAGGACAUAGGAGCAGAUUUGAAGAGGCUCCCAAAGGCCAAAUUUGAGAGAAUUUGAGAAUCAACAAGAAUAAUGAUAGUAACAGAUUAUAUAGCACAGUGAAUU